GUUGAGUUCUGACUCUCAAACUGUAAACACUGCUGGGCCGGACUGUCAUAUUUGUUUACUACGACUUUAUGUUUCUUGAAUUAUUGCAUCGCUUCAGCUCUCUCAGCAAUCAAUUCCAAAAAAGUGCCAUAAAUAAAAAAGGAAAAAGAUGUUCAAGACAAAACAGAAUAUGAUUGUAUUCACCGUCCUGGUACUAGGACUAGGACCAGUUUUUUCCGCUCCAACCCAGGACGGAGCGGGACACCAGGACGGAGAAGGACAUCAGGACCUCAUGGGAGCUAUGAUGUAUCUAAUGAAAUAUGGAUAUAUGAGAGCUCCAAGUCCUCAAGCUAAAUCAGCAAAUCUGCUUUCACAGGAUGGUUUGAAGAGUUAUAUAAUGGAGUUCCAAAGUUUUGCUGGUUUACCUCUGACCGGAGAACUAGAUAAUCAAACCAUAUCUCUCAUGGCGACUCCCAGAUGUGGAGUUAAAGAUAUAGUUGGAGCAGGAGCUACUGCCAGGAAGAAAAGAUAUGCUUUACAGGGUUCCAGAUGGAAAACUCGGGAACUGUCCUAUAAAAUAUCAAAAUAUCCUACUGCAUCUCUUCUAAAAAAAAGUGAAGUGGAUUCUGAGAUAAAGAAAGCUCUUGAAAUCUGGGGAACUGUGACAGAUCUGACCUUUAUACAAAAACAAUCUGGAAAAGUACAUAUUGAUAUCAGGUUUGAGAAAGGAGAACAUGGUGAUGGAGAUCCCUUUGAUGGACCUGGAGGAACCCUUGCUCAUGCUUACUUUCCAGUUUAUGGAGGAGAUGCUCAUUUUGAUAACUCAGAGUCAUGGACUAUCAAUAGUUACAGGGGAACCAAUCUACUACAAACUGCAGCUCAUGAGUUCGGGCACAGUUUAGGACUCUCACACUCAGACGAAUACAAGGCUUUAAUGGCACCUUUCUACAGGGGAUACCAGGAGAAGCUUGAGCUGGAUAUUGAUGAUAAAAAGGCAAUCCAAGCAAUCUACGGGGAAAAACUUAAAGAUCCCGAGCAAACUGUUCCUAACGUUCCUGUAACCAACAGACCUAUAUUGAGUAAACCUGGAGGGGGGCGGGAUAUUUGCUCCGAACCAACCCUGGAUUCUAUUCUUACCAUCGGAGAAACUACAUUUGCUUUCAAAGGAGACUCCUAUUGGAAGCUAACAGAUGACUCCAUAGCUCCUGGAUACCCUAGACUUGUUUCUCAAGACUGGACUGGACUUCCAGAUAAUAUUGAUGCUGCUUUUACAUGGGAAAACGGAAAAACAUAUUUCUUCAAAGGAUCUAAAUACUGGAGGUAUAGCUUUGACGAAAUGGAACCCGGGUACCCUAAGGAGAUAAGUAAAGGGUUUGAAGGAAUACCAAACAAUGUUGACGCGGCAUUUGUUUGGUCAGGGAACGGGAAAAUAUACUUUUUCAAGGGAUCUCAAUACUGGAGGUUUGAUCCAGACAGUCGACCUCCGGUCAAACCAUCCUAUCCAAGACCUAUCUCCAACUGGGAGGGUAUCCCGGAUAAUCUAGAUGAUGCUCUGCAGUACAGUAAUGGAUACACUUAUUUCUUCAAGGCUGGAGAAUAUUACCGGUUUGAUGACCGCUCCUUUAAGGUUGAUACUGCUGAUCCCCCAUUCCCACGUCCAGUUGGAUAUUGGUGGUUCGGAUGCCCUUCCUCUCUUACUAAAGCUGGUAUUAGGUCGACCUGAACAGUUUGACGCUGUCCAUGGUAACUAUGGUUUGAAUGAGGUAGAUUCUAGCUCUCUAGAUGCAGAAUAACUUUUCAUUGAAGUCUUGGACUGUUCUUGUGCCUGUAAUUACAAUAGGAACGGAGGAGAUGUCAAAACGUUCAAUUUAUGUUAAUAAUUAAUUAUUAAUUGUAUAUUUAUAUUUGUAUAUGUCAUUUGUUUGUACUGUAACGUCUCAAUCAUUAUCUUUAUUUACUCAAAACAACCUUAGAAAACAUCUUAUUUUUAAAAAAAACUAUGGAGUUCGAUUCGAUGACCCUAGUAAUUUAAAAAAAAUAUUUUUGCUUAAUCAAAAAUAAUACUUAACACUUUAAAUUUGGACGUGCAGAAACAAAAAAGAAAACAAUUAAAUUUCUAAAAAUUUCACAACAUAGAAUUCUAUUUCUAAAUGGCUUUUAAAACGACGACCUUCUAAAUAUUUAUCUUGAAUCUGUAUUUAUAUUUUAGAGAGGUUUAAUGAUGUCUCUUUAAGAAUUGGUUCAACAAAAUCUUCAGCUUAUGUAUCAUCAAGAAUAGAUUCUAAAAUGUUUCUUACUUUAACC